rnacentral:rRNA from 1 species
GUUUGAUCAUGGCUCAGGAUGAACGCUGGCGGCGUGCCUAACACAUGCAAGUCGAGCGAUUCUCUUAGGAGAAGAGCGGCGGACGGGUGAGUAACGCGUGGGUAACCUGCCCUGUACACACGGAUAACAUACCGAAAGGUAUGCUAAUACGGGAUAACAUAUUUUGAUGGCAUCAUCGAAAUAUCAAAGCUCCGGCGGUACAGGAUGGACCCGCGUCUGAUUAGCUAGUUGGUGAGGAAAUGGCUCACCAAGGCAACGAUCAGUAGCCGACCUGAGGGGGUGAUCGGCCACAUUGGAACUGAGACACGGUCCAAACUCCUACGGGAGGCAGCAGUGGGGAAUAUUGCACAAUGGGCGAAAGCCUGAUGCAGCAACGCCGCGUGAGCGAUGAAGGCCUUCGGGUCGUAAAGCUCUGUCCUCAAGGAAGAUAAUGACGGUACUUGAGGAGGAAGCCCCGGCUAACUACGUGCCAGCAGCCGCGGUAAUACGUAGGGGGCUAGCGUUAUCCGGAAUUACUGGGCGUAAAGGGUGCGUAGGUGGUUUUUUAAGUCAGAAGUGAAAGGCUACGGCUCAACCGUAGUAAGCUUUUGAAACUGAGAAACUUGAGUGCAGGAGAGGAGAGUAGAAUUCCUAGUGUAGCGGUGAAAUGCGUAGAUAUUAGGAGGAAUACCAGUUGCGAAGGCGGCUCUCUGGACUGUAACUGACACUGGGGCACGAAAGCGUGGGGAGCAAACAGGAUUAGAUACCCUGGUAGUCCACGCCGUAAACGAUGAGUACUAGGUGUCGGGGGUUACCCCCCUCGGUGCCGUAGCUAACGCAUUAAGUACUCCGCCUGGGAAGUACGCUCGCAAGAGUGAAACUCAAAGGAAUUGACGG